rnacentral:rRNA from 1 species
AGGUAAGCUACUAAGAGCGAAUGGUGGAUGCCUUGACUGGUAAAGGCGAUGAAGGACGUACUAGACUGCGAUAAGCUACGGGGAGCUGUCAAGAAGCUUUGAUCCGUAGAUUUCCGAAUGGGGCAACCCAAUGUAUAGAGAUAUACAUUACCUAUAUAGGAGCGAACGAGGGGAAUUGAAACAUCUUAGUACCCUCAGGAAAAGAAAUCAAUAGAGAUUGCGUCAGUAGCGGCGAGCGAAAGCGCAAGAGGGCAAACCCAGUGCUUGCACUGGGGGUUGUAGGACUGCAAUGUGCAAGAGCUGAGUUUAGCAGAACAUUCUGGAAAGUAUAGCCAUAGAGGGUGAUAGUCCCGUAUGCGAAAAACAAAGCUUAGCUAGCAGUAUCCUGAGUAGGGCGGGACACGAGGAAUCCUGUCUGAAUCCGGGUCGACCACGAUCCAACCCUAAAUACUAAUACCAGAUCGAUAGUGCACAAGUACCGUGAGGGAAAGGUGAAAAGAACUGAGGUGAUCAGAGUGAAAUAGAACCUGAAACCAUUUGCUUACAAUCAUUCAGAGCACUAUGUAGCAAUACAGUGUGAUGGACUGCCUUUUGCAUAAUGAGCCUGCGAGUUGUGGUGUCUGGCAAGGUUAAGCAAACGCGAAGCCGUAGCGAAAGCGAGUCUGAAUAGGGCGCUUAGUCAGAUGCUGCAGACCCGAAACGAAGUGAUCUAUCCAUGAGCAAGUUGAAGCUAGUGUAAGAACUAGUGGAGGACUGAACCCAUAGGCGUUGAAAAGCCCCGGGAUGACUUGUGGAUAGGGGUGAAAGGCCAAUCAAACUUCGUGAUAGCUGGUUCUCUCCGAAAUAUAUUUAGGUAUAGCGUUGUGUCGUAAUAUAAGGGGGUAGAGCACUGAAUGGGCUAGGGCAUACACCAAUGUACCAAACCCUAUCAAACUCCGAAUACCUUAUAUGUAAUCACAGCAGUCAGGCGGCGAGUGAUAAAAUCCGUCGUCAAGAGGGAAACAACCCAGACUACCAGCUAAGGUCCCUAAGUCUUACUUAAGUGGAAAACGAUGUGAAGUUACUUAAACAACCAGGAGGUUGGCUUAGAAGCAGCCAUCCUUUAAAGAAAGCGUAAUAGCUCACUGGUCUAGUGAUUUUGCGCGGAAAAUAUAACGGGGCUAAAGUAAGUACCGAAGCUGUAGACUUAGUUUACUAAGUGGUAGGAGAGCGUUCUAUUUGCGUCGAAGGUAUACCGGUAAGGAGUGCUGGAGCGAAUAGAAGUGAGCAUGCAGGCAUGAGUAGCGAUAAUUAAUGUGAGAAUCAUUAACGCCGUAAACCCAAGGUUUCCUACGCGAUGCUCGUCAUCGUAGGGUUAGUCGGGUCCUAAGUCGAGUCCGAAAGGGGUAGACGAUGGCAAAUUGGUUAAUAUUCCAAUACCAACAUUAGUGUGCGAUGGAAGGACGCUUAGGGCUAAGGGGGCUAGCGGAUGGAAGUGCUAGUCUAAGGUCGUAGGAGGUUAUAC